rnacentral:rRNA from 1 species
AUUGAACGCUGGCGGCUGGCCUAACACAUGCAAGUCGAGCGGAUGAAGGGAGCUUGCUCCUGGAUUCAGCGGCGGACGGGUGAGUAAUGCCUAGGAAUCUGCCUGGUAGUGGGGGAUAACGUCCGGAAACGGGCGCUAAUACCGCAUACGUCCUGAGGGAGAAAGUGGGGGAUCUUCGGACCUCACGCUAUCAGAUGAGCCUAGGUCGGAUUAGCUAGUUGGUGGGGUAAAGGCCUACCAAGGCGACGAUCCGUAACUGGUCUGAGAGGAUGAUCAGUCACACUGGAACUGAGACACGGUCCAGACUCCUACGGGAGGCAGCAGUGGGGAAUAUUGGACAAUGGGCGAAAGCCUGAUCCAGCCAUGCCGCGUGUGUGAAGAAGGUCUUCGGAUUGUAAAGCACUUUAAGUUGGGAGGAAGGGCAGUAAGUUAAUACCUUGCUGUUUUGACGGUACCAACAGAAUAAGCACCGGCUAACUUCGUG